rnacentral:rRNA from 1 species
AUGACGUCAAAUCAUCAUGCCCCUUAUGUUCUGGGCUACACACGUGCUACAAUGGCCGGUACAGACGGACGCAAAGCCGCGAGGUGGAGCAAAUCCUAAAAAGCCGGUCUCAGUUCGGAUUGCAGGCUGCAAUUCGCCUGCAUGAAGUCGGAAUCGCUAGUAAUCGCAGGUCAGCAUACUGCGGUGAAUACGUUCCCGGGCCUU